AUUGAACGCUGGCGGAAUGCUUUACACAUGCAAGUCGAACGGUAGAGGGGGCAACCCCUCGAGAGUGGCGAACGGGUGAGUAAUAUAUCGGAACGUGCCCAGUCGUGGGGGAUAACGUAGCGAAAGUUACGCUAAUACCGCAUACGAUCUACGGAUGAAAGCGGGGGAUCGCAAGACCUCGCGCGAUUGGAGCGGCCGAUAUCAGAUUAGCUAGUUGGUGAGGUAAAGGCUCACCAAGGCGACGAUCUGUAGCGGGUCUGAGAGGAUGAUCCGCCACACUGGAACUGAGACACGGUCCAGACUCCUACGGGAGGCAGCAGUGGGAAUUUUGGACAAUGGGGGCAACCCUGAUCCAGCCAUGCCGCGUGAGUGAAGAAGGCC
rnacentral:rRNA from 1 species